GCAUAUCAAUAAGCGGAGGAAAAGAAACCAACAGGGAUUGCCUCAGUAACGGCGAGUGAAGCGGCAAGAGCUCAAAUUUGAAAGCUGGCCCCCUCGGGGUCCGCAUUGUAAUUUGCAGAGGAUGCUUCGGGAGUGGCCCCCAUCUAAGUGCCCUGGAACGGGCCGUCAUAGAGGGUGAGAAUCCCGUCUGGGAUGGGGUGUCCACGCCCGUGUGAAGCUCCUUCGACGAGUCGAGUUGUUUGGGAAUGCAGCUCUAAAUGGGUGGUAAAUUUCAUCUAAAGCUAAAUACUGGCCGGAGACCGAUAGCGCACAAGUAGAGUGAUCGAAAGAUGAAAAGCACUUUGAAAAGAGAGUUAAACAGCACGUGAAAUUGUUGAAAGGGAAGCGCUUGCGACCAGACUCGCCCACGGGGUUCAGCCGGCAUUCGUGCCGGUGUACUUCCCCGCGGGCGGGCCAGCGUCGGUUUGGGCGGCCGGUCAAAGGCCCUUGGAAUGUAACGCCCCCCGGGGCGUCUUAUAGCCAAGGGUGCCAUGCGGCCAGCCCGGACCGAGGAACGCGCUUCGGCUCGGACGCUGGCAUAAUGGUCGUAAGCGACCCGUCUUGAAACACGGACCAAGGAGUCUAACAUCUACGCGAGUGUUCGGGUGUCAAACCCGUGCGCGCAGUGAAAGCGAACGGAGGUGGGAACCCCUCGGGGCGCACCAUCGACCGAUCCUGAAGUCUUCGGAUGGAUUUGAGUAAGAGCGUAGCUGUUGGGACCCGAAAGAUGGUGAACUAUGCCUGAAUAGGGCGAAGCCAGAGGAAACUCUGGUGGAGGCUCGCAGCGGUUCUGACGUGCAAAUCGAUCGUCAAAUUUGGGUAUAGGGGCGAAAGACUAAUCGAACCAUCUAGUAGCUGGUUCCUGCGAU
rnacentral:rRNA from 1 species